rnacentral:rRNA from 2 species
CUUGCUCCAUGAUUCAGCGGCGGACGGGUGAGUAAUGCCUAGGAAUCUGCCUGGUAGUGGGGGACAACGUUUCGAAAGGAACGCUAAUACCGCAUACGUCCUACGGGAGAAAGUGGGGGAUCUUCGGACCUCACGCUAUCAGAUGAGCCUAGGUCGGAUUAGCUAGUUGGCGAGGUAAAGGCUCACCAAGGCGACGAUCCGUAACUGGUCUGAGAGGAUGAUCAGUCACACUGGAACUGAGACACGGUCCAGACUCCUACGGGAGGCAGCAGUGGGGAAUAUUGGACAAUGGGCGAAAGCCUGAUCCAGCCAUGCCGCGUGUGUGAAGAAGGUCUUCGGAUUGUAAAGCACUUUAAGUUGGGAGGAAGGGCAGUAAGUUAAUACCUUGCUGUUUUGACGUUACCGACAGAAUAAGCACCGGCUAACUUCGUGCCAGCAGCCGCGGUAAUACGAAGGGUGCAAGCGUUAAUCGGAAUUACUGGGCGUAAAGCGCGCGUAGGUGGUUCGUUAAGUUGGAUGUGAAAGCCCCGGGCUCAACCUGGGAACUGCAUCCAAAACUGGCGAGCUAGAGUAUGGCAGAGGGUGGUGGAAUUUCCUGUGUAGCGGUGAAAUGCGUAGAUAUAGGAAGGAACACCAGUGGCGAAGGCGACCACCUGGGCUAAUACUGACACUGAGGUGCGAAAGCGUGGGG